UACGUAGGGUGCGAGCGUUGUCCGGAAUUAUUGGGCGUAAAGAGCUCGUAGGCGGUCUGUCGCGUCGUUCGUGAAAACCUGCAGCUCAACUGCAGGCUUGCGGUCGAUACGGGCAGGCUGGAGUUCGGUAGGGGAGACUGGAAUUCCUGGUGUAGCGGUGAAAUGCGCAGAUAUCGGGAAGAACACCCGUGGCGAAGGCGGUUCUCUGGGACGGUACUGACGCUGAGACGCGAAAGCGUGGGGAGCGAACAGG
rnacentral:rRNA from 1 species